AAUCAACGCUGGCGGCGUGCCUCAGACAUGCAAGUCGAACGAUUAAGACUUCCUUCGGGAAGUGUAUAAAGUGGCGCACGGGUGAGUAACACGUAGGUAAUGUGCCUUUGGGUGGGGAAUAACUUAGGGAAACUUAAGCUAAUACCGCAUAAUGCAGCGGCUCGACAUCGAGACAGUUGUUAAAGGAGUAAUCCGCCUAAAGAGCAGCCUGCGGCAGAUUAGCUAGUUGGUAAGGUAAUGGCUUACCAAGGCUACGAUCUGUAACCGACCUGAGAGGGUGGUCGGUCACACUGACACUGAAUAACGGGUCAGACUCCUACGGGAGGCAGCAGUCGGGAAUUUUGGGCAAUGGGCGAAAGCCUGACCCAGCAACGCCGCGUGAAGGAUGAAGUAUUUCGGUAUGUAAACUUCGUAAGAAUAGGAAGAAUAAAUGACGGUACUAUUUGUAAGGUCCGGCUAACUACAUGCCAGCCGCCGCCGUAAUAC
rnacentral:rRNA from 1 species